rnacentral:rRNA from 1 species
UCGGGUGUCAAACCCCUACGCGUAAUGAAAGUGAACGUAGGUGAGAGCUUCGGCGCAUCACCGACCGAUCCUGAUGUUCUCGGAUGGAUUUGAGUAAGAGCAUACGGGGCCGGACCCGAAAGAAGGUGAACUAUGCCUGUAUAGGGUGAAGCCAGAGGAAACUCUGGUGGAGGCUCGCAGCGGUUCUGACGUGCAAAUCGAUCGUCAAAUAUGGGCAUGGGGGCGAAAGACUAAUCGAACCUUCUAGUAGCUGGUUUCCGCCGAAGUUUCCCUCAGGAUAGCAGUGUUGAACUCAGUUUUAUGAGGUAAAGCGAAUGAUUAGGGACCAGGGGGCGCUAUUUAGCCUUCAUCCAUUCUCAAACUUUAAAUAUGUAAGAAGCUCUUGUUACUUAAUUGAACGUGGGCAUUCGAAUGUAUCAACACUAGUGGGCCAUUUUUGGUAAGCAGAACUGGCGAUGCGGGAUGAACCGAACGCGAGGUUAAGGUGCCAGAGUAGACGCUCAUCAGACACCACAAAAGGUGUUAGUACAUCUUGACAGCAGGACGGUGGCCAUGGAAGUCGGAAUCCGCUAAGGACUGUGUAACAACUCACCUGCCGAAUGUACUAGCCCUGAAAAUGGAUGGCGCUCAAGCGUCUCACCCAUACCUCGCCCUCAGGGUUGAAAUGAUGCCCUGAGGAGUAGGCGGACGUAGAGGUCAGUGACGAAGCCUAGGGCGGAGCCCG